rnacentral:rRNA from 1 species
CCUACGGUGGGCAGCAGUGAGGAAUAUUGGUCAAUGGGCGAGAGCCUGAACCAGCCAAGUCGCGUGAGGGAAGACGGUCCUAUGGAUCGUAAACCUCUUUUGCCGGGGAGCAAAAAGCGGUACGUGUACCGCACCGAGAGUACCCGGAGAAAAAGCAUCGGCUAACUCCGUGCCAGCAGCCGCGGUAAUACGGAGGAUGCGAGCGUUAUCCGGAUUUAUUGGGGUUAAAGGGUGCGCAGGCGGCGGGUUAAGUCAGCGGUAAAAUUUCGGGGCUCAACCCCGGCCAGCCGUUGAAACUGGCGUGCUAGAGUGGGCGAGAAGUAUGCGGAAUGCGUGGUGUAGCGGUGAAAUGCAUAGAUAUCACGCAGAACUCCGAUUGCGAAGGCAGCAUACCGGCGCCCAACUGACGCUCAGGCACGAAAGCGUGGGUAUCGAACAGGAUUAGAUACCCUAGUAGUC